rnacentral:rRNA from 1 species
GAUGAACGCUAGCUACAGGCUUAACACAUGCAAGUCGAGGGGAAACGACAUCGAAAGCUUGCUUUUGAUGGGCGUCGACCGGCGCACGGGAGAGUAACGCGUAUCCAACCUGCCCAUCACUUGGGAAUAACCUUGCGAAAGUAAGACUAAUACCCAAUGACAUCCCACGAAGACAUCUGAAUGGGAUUAAAGAUUUAUCGGUGAUGGAUGGGGAUGCGUCUGAUUAGCUUGUUGGCGGGGUAACGGCCCACCAAGGCAACGAUCAGUAGGGGUUCUGAGAGGAAGGUCCCCCACAUUGGAACUGAGACACGGUCCAAACUCCGACGGGAGGCAGCAGUGAGGAAUAUUAGUGAAUGGGCGAGAGCCUGAACCAGCCAAGUAGCGUGCAGGAUGACGGCCCUAUGGGUUGUAAACUGCUUUUAUAAGGGAAUAAAGUGGGUCUCGUGAGACUUUUUGCAGGUACCUUAUGAAUAAGGACCGGCUAAUUCCGUG